CAUACCGCGUGUGAAAUUGCAGGUAUAUAAUAGAUUCACUAAAUGAGAGGGCGAGUUAUCAACACUUACUCUCCAAUGCGUCAUCACCCCCAACACUCCUGUGUAUUUCCUGCAAAUAAGGAUCUUCUCCUACAUGGUCAGUCCGAACAACCUUCAGUCACAACUGAGAAGGUCACAUGGUGCAUCACUGCCGCUCAGUCUCCCCAAGCCCAGUGAUUUCUUCACAAUUAGGGAUCUGAGACCCGCAGUAUGGCAGUGACAAGAUCCAAGUCUUGGGACACCUAGCCAGGAGGGAAGAAUUUGAGGGAGAGGUGGAAAAUAUGCGAGGCUGAACUGACCUUCAAGGACAAGAAGGCUGUGUUCAGAUAGACAGAGUUUGUCUUCUGGGAGAGGAGUGGGCUUAUCCAGGAUGAUCCCAAAGGCAGAUUGAGGACCAGUGGGAGGACAUCCUGAGAAAGCAGAUCCAGCUUUAGGCAAGGAAGGACUUCGUAACAGGCAGAGAGCCCAUGUUGGAAACAAGCAGCUCUGCAAGGUGUGGGCCCACUGUCUGACUCCCUGCGGGGCUGCUGCCUUGGAAGAGCCUCCUGCUUAGAGAGGUUCUCCUGCCGCCAGCUGUCUCUCCUGAGUCCUGAGCACCACAUCUCUGGACCGUCUGGAGCCUCCCCUCCCUUGGCUUACUGCUCCCACCACCCUCUCUCUCCACCUUGCAAGAGACACUCUCCCUCAUCCUGGGUCAUCACCCUCUUUAGAGGCGCCGCCUGGCCACGAGGUUGGAUAUGGGGGGGUGUGUUAGGAGUUACAUCCACUAACCUCUGGGGCUAGAAUGUUCCUCCUAAUCCCGGAUUACCAGCUUACAACCCCAAUGCCCACUUUCUCAAACAAGCCUCGUCUUUUUAAAGUGCUGGUAUUCCCCUCUCUGCCUGUAUUUCUUUUUUUCCUUCUUUUGAGACAGGAUCUUGCUCUGUCACCUAGGCUGGAGUGCAAUGGCACACUCACGGCUCACUGCAGCGUCAAACUCCCAGGCUCAAGUGUUCCUCCUACCUCAGCCUCCUGAGUAGCUAGGACCACAG
rnacentral:lncRNA from 1 species